AGCAGCAUUAACGCGGUUGCUUAGUGAGGUUUUUAAGUUUUUAGAAUUAAAAAGAAAAAGAAAAUUACCUAUUUACUUAAGCAACACCGCUUAAUUAAGCUCCACAAGUGCCGUGUCUUAUGAGACACGUGUUGGACAUUUAGACUCAGCGUCUCUUUCUCUCUCUCGACCAAUUGAUUUUGAGUCUCUUUUGUCGACUCGCGAUCUUUCUCACCGUUGUCUCCUUCUCUCAGAAAAUCAUUCAAUCUCCACUAGCGUUACCGGCAGAAACCCAGGAGAUGCUAAUAAGAUAUUUGACAAGUACCUUCUCGAGUUAAACAAAGAGCUUUCUUAUGUUCACUUUAAGCUGAGGGCUUGUAGAGAUCAGUAUGAUGGCCAUGUUUGUUAUGGUGUGGUUAAUAUUGUCUCUAACGAUCAAUCCAAACUCGGGACUAAAUACUUUGUUCCUCAGAUUGCAUUCUUCAAAGGCAUUAUAGAAGCAAUCGCACAGGAUGAAGCUGCCCAAGGCUGCAUAUCGGGCUUUGAUGCUCUUAAUAUCUGUUUGGAGAACCAGGAUGGUGAUGCUAUCUCUGCAACGAGAGCUGGGUAGUUUAGUUACUCCAAUCCAAAUAAGUAUUGGGUCGAAAGUUCUCAUAAACGGGAAGCAAAGCAUCACAUCUCUUCAGCAUAUUGUAAGUUUUUCUGUAGAAUGUAUAUGUCAAAUUUGUAUAGGAUGUUUCAAAUAAUGUUGGCUUACUUUC